rnacentral:lncRNA from 7 species
CGCCGUCGAGAUAACCGAGGAUCAGGCAAGCGUUCUGAGAUCGGCCAAGGAGGUGAGGGUGGUGGAGAAGAACCAGGAGCUCGCAUGAUACGAUGAUCUACUUCUCAGUCAAACCGGCCGGCCGGACGGGACGGACUAGUUUUAUCUGUAGAUGCUCUGGCACGCACCGAUCAGCUGGUAGCUAUGGCUAUAUUUAUACAUAUAUAUUGUUUAUUACUAAGGUAAUAAGGUAAAGGAGAGUGGUCGUCGUCGUCGAGUUGUUCCUAGCUAUAGCCUAUAGCUACUUAUAUAGCUAGUCAAUCGAGUGUUAGUUGUGAGUGAGUGUGUGUGAACUCCCAUGCAUGCAUGCAUGCAUGCAUAUGGCUUUGUUGACUGCCUAGUCAAACUUAGCUGCUGCAAGUAGUACUGAGUACUGCCCUAAUAUGUAUAAUAAUAUAGUUCUUCGCUAGCUAUAGGGCCUAAUGAUCAUCAGAGGAUCGACGACUUCGAGACGACUAUAUUAUUGAACUCCAUCCAUCUGUAAUGGCCGUGAUUUGUUCUUCAGUCAUGCAUGUACGGCCUGAGUAACCACUAUUCACAAAUUAAUGUGCAUCAAUGUGAACUCACGUACUGUGAUUU